UACGUAGGGUGCGAGCGUUGUCCGGAAUUAUUGGGCGUAAAGAGCUCGUAGGCGGCUUGUCGCGUCGGAUGUGAAAGCCCGGGGCUUAACUCCGGGUCUGCAUUCGAUACGGGCAGGCUAGAGUUCGGUAGGGGAGAUCGGAAUUCCUGGUGUAGCGGUGAAAUGCGCAGAUAUCAGGAGGAACACCGGUGGCGAAGGCGGAUCUCUGGGCCGUUACUGACGCUGAGGAGCGAAAGCGUGGGGAGCGAACAGG
rnacentral:rRNA from 1 species